AAGUCGUAACAAGGUUUUCAUGAAAUACCAUACUGAAGCCUUGAUCCCAGUCUAUUAUAUAGGCAACACCUUUAAUGUGCUUGGAUACCUAAAGGUAACAAGCAGCUGCUAACUGCAGUUCACAGAUCAAACAAAGGUGGUCCUUAGUGCUAUUGCAUGCUUAGCUGUAGCCAUAGGAUUUAGAUAUGACCGGCCUACUCUUGUAAAAACUAGUAGAGUUUGCGUUCCGUAGGUGAACCUGCGGAAGGAUCAUUACAGAGAACAUGCCCUUUAAGGUAUAUCUCCCACCCUUUGUCUAUAAUAUCUUUGUUGCCUUGGCAGGCCUGUUUUACAACUACUGGCCUUGGCUGGUUAGUGCCUGCCAGAGGACCCAUUAAUUCUUUUAUAUUGCUGUCUGAGUAUGAUAUAAUAUUUAAAACUUUCAACAACGGAUCUCUUGGUUCUGGCAUCGAUGAAGAACGCAGCGAAAUGCGAUAAGUAAUGUGAAUUGCAGAAUUCAGUGAAUCAUCGAAUCUUUGAACGCACAUUGCACCCCCUGGUAUUCUAGGGGGUAUGCCUGUUCGAGCGUCAUUACAACCCUCAAGCACUGCUUGGUAUUGGAUGUCACCAUUGUGGUGUAUCUCAAAAGUAUUAGCAGUAACACUCAGCUUCUAGUGUAGUAAAUUUCUCGCUUUGGGGCUAAGUGUCUAAUUGUUAGAACUCCUAAUUUAUCAAAGGUGACCUCGGAUCAGUAGGNAUACCCGCUGANCUUANGCAUAUCAUANGCGNAGGAAAAGAANCANCAGGGAUUGCCUUAGUANCGGCGAGUGAGCGGCAAUAGCUCAAAUUUGAAAUCUGACCUCAUGGUCUGAGUUGUAAUUUGUAGAGGAUGCUUCGAGCAUGGUCUGGUCUAAGUUCCUUGGAACAGGACAUCAUAGAGGGUGAGAAUCCCGUAUGUGACUGGGUGCCUAAGCUCAUGUGAAGCUCCUUCGACGAGUCGAGUUGUUUGGGAAUGCAGCUCAAAAUGGGUGGUAAAUUUCAUCUAAAGCUAAAUACUGGCCAGAGACCGAUAGCGCACAAGUAGAGUGAUCGAAAGAUGAAAAGCACUUUGGAAAGAGAGUCAAACAGUACGUGAAAUUGUUGAAAGGGAAGCGCUUGCAACCAGACUUGCAUGCAGUCGAUCAUCUGGUGUUUUCACUGGUGCACUCAAUUGUAUUCAGGCCAGCAUUGGUUUUGGUGGCUGGAUAAAGACCUUGGGAAUGUAGCUUCUUUUGGGGAGUGUUAUAGCCCUUGGUGUAAUGUGGCCUACCAGGACCGAGGACCGCGCUUUGGCUAGGAUGCUGGCGUAAUGGUUGUAAGCGACCCGUCUUGAAACACGGACC
rnacentral:rRNA from 1 species